rnacentral:rRNA from 1 species
AUACGGAGGGGGCUAGCGUUGUUCGGAAUUACUGGGCGUAAAGCGCGUGUAGGCGGAUCGUUAAGUCAGGGGUGAAAGCCCGGAGCUCAACUCCGGAAUUGCCCUUGAUACUGGCGGUCUAGAGGCCGGGAGAGGUGAGCGGAAUUCCCAGUGUAGAGGUGAAAUUCGUAGAUAUUGGGAGGAACACCAGUGGCGAAGGCGGCUCACUGGCCCGGUUCUGACGCUGAGACGCGAAAGCGUGGGGAGCAAACAGGAUUAGAAACCCGAGUAGUCC